rnacentral:rRNA from 1 species
GAUGAACGCUGACAGAAUGCUUAACACAUGCAAGUCAACUUGAACUUCGGUUUGGGUGGCGGACGGGUGAGUAACGCGUAAAGAACUUGCCUCACAGCUAGGGACAACAUUUGGAAACGAAUGCUAAUACCUGAUAUUAUGAUUAUAUGGCAUCGUAUAAUUAUGAAAGCUAUAUGCGCUGUGAGAGAGCUUUGCGUCCCAUUAGCUAGUUGGAGAGGUAACAGCUCACCAAGGCGAUGAUGGGUAGCCGGCCUGAGAGGGUGAUCGGCCACAAGGGGACUGAGACACGGCCCUUACUCCUACGGGAGGCAGCAGUGGGGAAGAUUGGACAAUGGACCGAGAGUCUGAUCCAGCAAUUCUGUGUGCACGAUGAAGUUUUUCGGAAUGUUAAGUGCUUUCAGUUGGGAAGAAAAAAAUGACGGUACCAACAGAAGAAGUGACGGCUAAAUACGUG